AUUGAACGCUGGCGGCAUGCCUUACACAUGCAAGUCGAACGGCAGCACGGGAGCAAUCCUGGUGGCGAGUGGCGAACGGGUGAGUAAUACAUCGGAACGUGCCCAAUCGUGGGGGAUAACGUAGCGAAAGCUACGCCAAUACCGCAUACGAUCUACGGAUGAAAGCGGGUGCUCGCAAGACCUCGCGCGAAUGGAGCGGCCGAUGGCAGAUUAGGUAGUUGGUGAGGUAAAGGCUAACCAAGUCUGCGAUCUGUAGCUGGUCUGAGAGGACGACCAGCCACACUGGGACUGAGACACGGCCCAGACUCCUACGGGAGGCAGCAGUGGGGAAUUUUGGACAAUGGGCGCAAGCCUGAUCCAGCAAUGCCGCGUGCAGGAUGAAGGCCUUCGGGUUGUAAACUGCUUUUGUACGGAACGAAACGGUCCUUUCUAAUACAAGGGGCUAAUGACGGUACCGUAAGAAUAAGCACCGGCUAACUACGUGCCAGCAGCCGCCGUAA
rnacentral:rRNA from 1 species